CAGCAACAAGGACCUACCACAGCUCCAGGACUUUGGGGGGCAGCUUUUCAGGGACUUGGUAAUACUGAAGGACCCAGGAGAGGACUUCCCGCCACCGAUCCAUUUCUGCCAGGGCCUGAAUCCCCACAACACACAAGGAGCAUUUCACCUCCAAGGAGCUGUCAACAGAAAAACAAACUCAGGCUCCCCUUCUCCUCAACCCCCAAAUCUCUUAGCACCAAACUGGCUUUGGCCCAGGUGAAAUCAAAUUUGAGUGAACAGACAGGGUAAUCCUGAGUGGAAAACGACAACACUCAGCACAGACGCAUCUGUCAAAGCCACUGUGAUAUACCAUCUACGUGCGAGGGUACCCAAAACUUCUCAAGCUGAGAUGCAGAAUUCCUAAACGGAAGCUAAUUCUCUCCACCUGUGGGAGAGUAAACAGAAAAAACACCAGACUAGAAGACGUGAGACAACAGUAUCCUGAGUCCUUCUGUGAGGAAGCCAUGUGCUCUCAAGAUUCCCA